UACGGAGGGGGCUAGCGUUGUUCGGAAUUACUGGGCGUAAAGCGCACGUAGGCGGCUUUGUAAGUUAGAGGUGAAAGCCCGGAGCUUAACUCCGGAAUUGCCUUUAAGACUGCAUCGCUAGAAUUGUGGAGAGGUAAGUGGAAUUCCGAGUGUAGAGGUGAAAUUCGUAGAUAUUCGGAAGAACACCAGUGGCGAAGGCGGCUCACUGGACCGGCAUUGACGCUGAGGUGCGAAAGCGUGGGGAGCAAACAGG
rnacentral:rRNA from 1 species